rnacentral:rRNA from 1 species
CCGGGUGACUAGAGCGGGGUGGUCCCACCCGUUUCCAUUCCGAACACGGUAGUGAAACGCCCCAGCGCUGACGAUACUGCCCCAUGUGGGGUGGGAAAAUAAGCCGUUGCCCGGG